UUCGGAGAGUUUGAUCCUGGCUCAGGAUUAACGCUGGCGGCGUGCAUGAAACAUGCAAGUCGAGCGCGGCACUUCGGUGUCUAGCGGCGCACGGGUGAGUAACACGUGAGCAACCUACCUUCGAGUCCGGGAUAGCCCUGAGAAAUCAGGAUUAAUACCGGAUGUGGUCACCGGGGGACAUCCUCUGGUGAGUAAAGGCGUAAGCCGUUCGGAGACGGGCUCGCGGCCUAUUAGCUUGUUGGUGGGGUCACGGCCUACCAAGGCGAAGAUGGGUAGCUGGUCUGAGAGGACGAUCAGCCACACUGGGACUGAGACACGGCCCAGACUCCUACGGGAGGCAGCAGUUAGGAAUUUUCCGCAAUGGGCGAAAGCCUGACGGAGCAACGCCGCGUGGGUGAUGAAGACCUUCGGGUUGUAAAGCCCUGUCGGAGGGGAAGAAGAUCUGACGGUACCCUCCAAGGAAGCCCCGGCUAACUACGUGCCAGCAGCCGCGGUAAUACGUAGGGGGCAAGCGUU
rnacentral:rRNA from 1 species